GUGCUCGCUUUGGCAGCACAUAUACUAAAAUUGGAGAGAUACAGAGAAGAUUAGCAUUGCUUCUGUGCAAGGAUGACAUGCAAAUUUGUGGUCAAAUGCCACUUUCA